rnacentral:rRNA from 1 species
AGUAAAAGUCGUAACAAGGUUUCCGUAGGUGAACCUGCGGAAGGAUCAUUAACGUGUUCUCCGACGGCAAAGGUGCGCCUGGUUGCCCCUCGGUGGCUGGGCGCCCUGAGCUGCUCGAACCUUUUCAAACCCACUGUGCACUUUGGUCGGCAGAGGGGCUUUGCGGCCCCGAGCCGGAUCUUGCAUACUCUUAACUGCGGAAAGUCUAUGGCGAGCCCUUUGUGCCGCCCUAAUCUUUGACAACUUUCAACAACGGAUCUCUUGGCUCUCGCAUCGAUGAAGAACGCAGCGAAUCGCGAUAAGUAGUGUGAAUUGCAGAAUCCAGUGAAUCAUCGAGUCUUUGAACGCACCUUGCGCUCCUUGGUAUUCCGAGGAGCAUGCCUGUUCGAGUGUCUUGAAGUCAUCGACCCCCCUCCCGUUUUGCUGCGGGAUGGGCGUCGGAUGUUGGGGGCGCUUGCGGCCGGUCACCGUGCCGCUCCCCUCAAAUGCGUUGGUCGGGCCUUGUGGGUUUGAACUCGGUCUCUGGGCGUUGUACCGCCCUCGCUCCGUGCCGGGUGCGCCCCGCAUGACUGCGCCCCUCCUCGGCCGCCCUCCUCUGCGGUGGCCGGCGAAAGCCGCUUUGUUUGAAAUCUGACCUCAAAUCAGGUAGGACUACCCGCUGAACUUAAGCAUAUCAAU